AAGUCACAGAACACUUAUUUGAUUCAGACCAGCCCUUUUAUGUUGCAUGCUUGAAAAGAACCACUCCAAAUGAAGUUAACAUCUGUGGAUGCAAGUGCGCCCUGCUCUACGUUGGAGUCUGGGCAUUGUUCCAAGGUAGUUGCUCUGCCAUCCGUAAGCUGCUAGAUGCUCUCCUUUAUGGGUGAGCUUAUUCUUUUUGCUAUUAGAAUGACACUUUCAAUUUGUAAUUUAUAAUAAGGAUGUUAAAAAGAUUGGAGAGUGUUGCACUGCCAAGUGCCAACUAUUCUGGAUAUAGGCAUGAUUAGAAUUUUUUAAGUCUCAAAUUAAUUAAAACAGAAACUUUUUUGAAACAUUUGGAAACUAUUUUGAGUUUAUGUUAAAUAUUUGAAUGCAGUAACUUUACUAGAUUAGUAUAUAAGAUACAUAAUGAUUACAUUGUUACAAAGAAAAAUAAGUUAUUGUAUUUAUGCAUAACUUCAUGCUUUAAUGCAUAAUAUCAAGAGUAUCUACAAAAUACUAUGCAUACAAGUUUACGCAUAGCAUCAUUUAUGAUAUAGCAACUAAAAGAAUAACUUUGUUGAAUUCAAUGAUAGUAAGAUAGUGCACUCCCAUUUAAUUGAUAGUUUAUGUUAGUGCUCUCACAUUUUUUUGUUAUUUCAUAAGAUAAAUAUGUUGAGUUAUAUGAGGGUUGUUUCCACAUUGAUAAAUAUUAACUUUUUGAUAGUUAGUACUUGUCAAAAAAAAAAAAAAAA